GAUGAACGCUGGCGGCGUGCCUAAUACAUGCAAGUCGAGCGAACAGACGAGGAGCUUGCUCCUCUGACGUUAGCGGCGGACGGGUGAGUAACACGUGGAUAACCUACCUAUAAGACUGGGAUAACUUCGGGAAACCGGAGCUAAUACCGGAUAAUAUAUUGAACCGCAUGGUUCAAUAGUGAAAGACGGUUUUGCUGUCACUUAUAGAUGGAUCCGCGCCGCAUUAGCUAGUUGGUAAGGUAACGGCUUACCAAGGCGACGAUGCGUAGCCGACCUGAGAGGGUGAUCGGCCACACUGGAACUGAGACACGGUCCAGACUCCUACGGGAGGCAGCAGUAGGGAAUCUUCCGCAAUGGGCGAAAGCCUGACGGAGCAACGCCGCGUGAGUGAUGAAGGUCUUCGGAUCGUAAAACUCUGUUAUUAGGGAAGAACAAAUGUGUAAGUAACUGUGCACGUCUUGACGGUACCUAAUCAGAAAGCCACGGCUAACUACGUG
rnacentral:rRNA from 1 species